CACAGCACCAUACCAGCUACUAGGAAGAAAAAAUAACUUUCACAGCUGAAACCAUGGCACCAACUAACAACUGAACUGACCAGCUGGAGGUUCUUAUUUUCCUCAAAAGAAAAGGCAACAUUUAAUUCAUUGAUUUUUUUUUUUUUUCAAUUCUUGUAUUGUGAGUAAUGAUACCAGGGUUAGCAAAUUUAUUAACUUCAACCCUUCAUUAAUGCAGAGUGGAAAAGCAAUUUAAUUCUGUGAUGCGAAAGUAGAAUCAACUUCGGAAGGACCCUAGGAGAGCCUGGGAAGACGCUUUCCACAAUUGUGUGAGGUUAACAGACAGAGACGUAUGUUUUUUGGGGAAUGCAUCAGUUUGUCACACAUUGGAAACAAGCUCAUCUUUUUCUGUUGGAAGAUUCUUCACUGGACUGAUGGGUUCUGACCGGCGCCGGCAGUGGUGGAGAUGGUGGCAGCAAGUGGUAGCAUCAGAGUCAGGUGCUGAGAGGCAGGCAGGCAGGCGCGGGAGCCCCCUGUGCAGGCCAUGUUGCUCCCAGCAGCAAGCAUCACCGUGGCAGGGCAGUCCUAUCCUGCCCCAGCUCAUCCAGCCAGGAAAGACCCG
ensembl:lncRNA